CCCCUAGAUGUUCUGGGCCGCACGCGCGCUACACUGAACAGUUCAACAAGUCUUAACCUCGGCCGAUAGGUCUGGGUAAUCUUUGAACGCUGUUCGUGAUUGGGAUAGACCUUUGCAAUUAUGGGUCUUCAACGAGGAAUUCCUAGUAAACGCAAGUCAUCAGCUUGCAUUGAUUACGUCCCUGCCCUUUGUACACACCGCCCGUCGCACCUACCGAUUGAAUGGUCCGGUGAAAUCUCGGGACGGCGGCUUGGUCGCUUGCGUCCGACUGCUGAAACUUGAUUAAACCAUNUNAUUUAANGGAAGGUGAANUCGUANCA
rnacentral:rRNA from 1 species